UGCUGACUCAACUUGUUUCUGAUUGGUCAGAGGUCUAAAUCAUUGUCUGAGGCCAGUUUCACACGGGCUGCCACUUGCACUCUGCAUGCACAGCACUUCCCAGAGCUCUGUGUCAAGAUGGAUUUAUAAUGGGAUUCAUAAUGAUGAAAAUCUUGAUUGAUUAACAUGAACGGGCAACCCACAGAAAACCAGACGCCAUCCUAUUCACUCUGUAGUCUCAAGACCAUGCCAUGCCUCAAGAUGAUUCUGCAAUCCACAAGACAAACAAGACAGUAGAACAAUUAGUGCAUUUACUUUGUGUCUCAAUCUCUUUGUCAUAGGGCCAAAGAAAUGUAUGAAACUCAAGAUGUGCUACAAACUGUCAGUUGCCAAGCAAGUGUCUGGGACAUGGCAGCCAAUGGGAGACUGCAUGAACAACUCCCCUUAACCAAUCAGAGCUCUGAUAAGGAGCGUGUGAAAUGCCUUUAGCUACCUGAGAUAAGGACCAAACUUCCCAUGUUGUUUUUGCCCCAGUUACCUUGAGACUCACAGAGCCAAACCAUAUAAACAGGCUUUCUAACCUCUCAAACAUGUUUUUAUAGUGAUGCUGUUUGUAGAGUUGUCAAAUGAUUUCUUUCAAAAAGUUCAAGUGAAGGUUGAUGAAGUCAAAUCUAGAACUCUGGGUUGAAUUCCAAUGUAUUCCAAAAAUCAAAUUGUUCCUUUCACUUUCUCUUAGACCCUCUGCUUUUAAUCUAAUUUGACUGGUCGUGAACUUGGCACUGUGACACACUUCCAUGAAUUGAUUGCAGGUGUAAAAAUACUUUCUCCCAUGCUGGGGCCUCAGAGCACUAAUGAACACCAUAUAAAAUUA
rnacentral:lncRNA from 1 species